UGGCUGAAGAGGUGAAGCAGUUGUAGUACGAAUACUACAAACUACAAACAUGGCAGCGACCGGUUCAGUAGAAAGGUUAGAACUUCUAGAUGCUGAAACAAAUAAAACAUACGUAAUGUAUAUUGAUGUACAAGAUACGGAUAAAGCCCACAAUGGGGCGUCUAGUGAUCAGUUUGUACCACUUACCACUUGCCCUUCACCACUUGCAAGUAAUCACCAUUCACCAAAAGCUAGUAUAUCGCAUGUAAUUAGUAAUGUGGCAAUAGAUGAACAAGAUGGAGAUAAUAUAAAUGGUUCAGAUUAUAAUGAGCUAAAUAAAUCGUCAAAUAAAGAAGAUAUUUAUAUCUGGAGUAAAAAAGAAACAUUAUUAUUAAUAAGUUUAUAUAAAGACAAUGUGUGCGUUUAGGCAAGACACCGCUACUGAAGCGCUACAGCUUUUUCGCUACAACUGUAGCGGUAAAUUGGACAGUGCUACUGUAUAUAAUCUCAAACGAAACAUCUCAUUUGGACACAAUUGGUGUCACUCGCCUAAAAAAUGGCAAAUAUUGAAGAUUGGCUCAUGAAUGAAAUAUUGUUGGAUGAAGAUUUCUCAGAAGAUGAUGAUGAAAUGCUUAGACUUAUUUUCCUUGACUUUCAAGAACAAGAAAACGAUCCCGAUAUUCUGAAUAUCUUUGAAAAUGAUAUAUUUCGUGACAUAUAUUUUCGUGAAAGGCAAAAUGAAAUAGUAAAUUUAAAUUAUUUUGAAGAAGUAAUACCACGUUGUAACGGAAACCAAUUCCAUGUGCAUUUUAAAAUGCAUCGAGGAACAUUUAUAGUAAAUAAUAAAUUGAUUAAUAUUUAUUAUAUAUAUGAACCAUACCCCACGAAAACAAACGUUGUGUCCACGUGAAAUCCACAUGGUUUUGUGGACUAAUGCAAUGUACGUUCCAGAUGAAUUCAACGUACGUUUUUCUGGGAUAAUAUCCUGCUGGUAGUCAUUUUGAGAAUUGGAAAAUGUAGUAAGACCUUUGAUGAGACAAAGAGAAAAUGAUGUAUUACUUUCGAAGAAACUGUUUAACAUUGUGGAUAUAGCCACACCAGAAAGUUUUCGAUCUGUUGCUGAUAGAUUUGGCCUUUCCAAAGGUGUAACUUGGAAAAUUUUUAAAGAAAUGAUUUGGAUAUUAAAAAGAUGGCUGCCACAUUUUAUAAGAUGGUCAAAUGAUGCGGAAUGUAAAGAAAGUGAAAGAAUUUUUGAAAUUCGAUCAAGAGGAUUUCCAGGCGUUGUAGGAGUUAUUGAUGGCUGUCAUAUCGCAAUUAAACAACCGCUUAGGAAUGCAAAUGAUUACUAUAAUCGCAAAGAAUUUCAUUCCAUUAUUUAGCAAGGUGUUUGUGACCAUACGGGGAAGUUUAUAGACUGUCUCAUUGGUCGGCCUGGAUGUGCACAUGAUGCAGCAGUUUUUCGCAGCAGUAAUAUUUAUACUGCACUGACAGACGAAGCAAAUCCACUUUUACCUCCUCGACGACACAUUCUUGGUGAUUCCGCAUAUCCAUUGCUUCAAAAUGUGACUCCAUUUCGAGACAAUGGAAAUUUAACCCCAGAAAAGUCUACAUAUAAUACUAGACUUUCCUCAAUACGAUCGAUAAUAGAGCGUACAUUUGGAUUGCUGGAAGGAAAGUGGCGAAGGCUGAAAUAUCUUAAUGUACAAAAUAUUGAAAUGGCAAAUUAUAUUGUUGCAGCUGCAUGCAUUCUUUACAAUUUUCUUAUAUUACAUAAUGAAAUGAACAUGACAAAAUUUAAAUAUUAACAUUGAGCAUGAAGAUUAUAACAAUGAUGAAGAUGAUAAUAAUGAUGAAUUUCAAAAUGACAACGGGCGAAUGAAAAGACAAGAAAUUGUAAACAGGUUUCAAGUAAUGCAGUAAUGCAAAGAGGUUUUUUGUAAUGCACUAAAAAAUUUAAAAUCCAAUCACCAGCAUAGACUAAUGCGUUAUAAAUUAUGUCUUGAUCUCGAAAUAUUGUUUAAAAAGGACUUGAGAUAAUAAAUUUUUUGUAUAAAUGUA
rnacentral:misc_RNA from 1 species